rnacentral:rRNA from 1 species
AUGAAAAAUCUGGGAGAAGCCGAUGUAAUUCUAAACAUCAAACUUAUUAAGGAUGAGAGUGGGAUUACAUUAACGCAAUCUCACUAUGUUGAGAAGGUCUUGAACCGAUUCGGUUUUAUGGAUAGCAAGCAUUCUCCAACACCUUAUGAUCCCAGCGUGACACUCAGAAAGAACAAGAAAGAAACGAGAGAUCAAUUAAGAUACUCUCAAAUUGUCGGUUCACUCAUGUACUUAGCUAGCGCUACAAGACCAGAUAUCUCUUUUGCUGUGAGCAAACUGAGUAGGUUCAUGUCCAACCCGGGUGAUGAUCAUUGGCAUGCACUAGAAAGGGUCUUGCACUAUCUGAGAGGUACUAUGAGUUACGGAAUAACUUAUUCAGGGCAUCCUGCUGUGCUAGAAGGAUAUAGUGAUUCAAAUUGGAUCUCCGAUGUUGAUGUACUUUACGCAACAAGUGGGUAUGUAUUUACUCAUGGUGGUGGCGCAGUGUCAUGGAGGUCUUGCAAGCAAACCAUAUUGACGAGGUCAACUAUGGAAGCAGAAUUAACUGCUUUGGACACAACUACUGUUGAGGCAGAAUGGCUGCGUGAGCUCUUGAUGGACUUGCCAGUUAUUGAAAAACCUGUACCGGCUAUUCUUAUGAAUUGUGAUAACCAAACGGUUAUCGCUAAAGUGAACAAUUCUAAAGAUAAUGCAAAGUCAUCAAGACACGUGAAAAGACGUUUGAAGUCUGUCAGGAAGUUGAGAAACUCCGGAGUAAUAACUGUUACGUAUAUACAAACAGACAAAAACCUGGCAGAUCCCUUUACAAAGGGACUAUCACGAAAUGUGAUAGAUAUUGCAUCGAGGGAGAUGGGUAUGAGACCCAUA